rnacentral:lncRNA from 1 species
GAUAGUAUGAUCUAUAUCCUUUGUGAUGCAAUGAGCUGCCACCUUUCACUGCGCCGAUCCUAGCAAAGUUAGCAGAUUCAGUCUUCAUAUAUCUAUUAUACGACAUGAGGAUUUAUUGGUGAGUUCCAAUCGUUCUUUUUCUUGGUGUAUUUAUCUAAUUUCAGUUUGUACGAAGCUUUAGGACAGAAAAAGAUAGUAGAGUAUUUUUUCCUAUAUUGCAGCCUGCAGUUUUUAAGACUCUUAAAUUUCUUAAUAGGUAGAACUAAGUGCAGAAAAGAGAACAUUUAUUGUUAUAAUUUGUAUUUGUGGCAUGAUGUGAUAUAUCCAAUUGUCUUACUUUGUCUAAAACUAUCCUCUUCUCCUAGCAAUUUCGCAAUCCCAAAAUCACUUAAAUGGACAACCGUGUUUUCAUCUAGCAAAAUGUUGCUAGGCUUCAAAUCACAAUGCACUACUGGCUGUGAAUAAUCGUUAUGGAGAUAGUCUAAAGGCUACAUCGAUCAUUAUGUCCAACUUUUGCAACAUGUCUGAAUAUGCAUAAGUCAUAAGAGUGUAACCAUUUGUUAGGGCUGUCAUUUGGCAAGUACUCCAAAAUAAGGCCUUGAAAAUAUCUCAUAGAGAUUCUAUAAAUGCUCAAAUUAGUUAGACAUAGUCAUAGAAAUCAAGCUCAUGCGACACUGACAUUAGUGAAGAAUGUCCGGACUCCAUUUUAUGGGACUAAAUUGGGUAUAUUGUUGUUGUAUGUAUAGUCAUAGUACUUAAGUAGAACGAGCUACAUUAGACUUGAAACAACCUAAGUAUCUAAUAAUUUUAGUUUCAUACUUCAUUUGUUGUGCCAAGAAUUAGUGUCCAGGAAAGCUACUGCUUCGUCACUUUAAGAGGUGAACCGUUGCGAAGUGGUAUAACAAUGUUGCAAAGUUUUGAAGCGAAGCACCUUAGAGAAGCAAGUGCUUCAAUGGCGAAGUGAGGUUAAGUGUGAAGUAAUAUGAAGCAUCUCUCCUUUAUAAUAUAUAUCAUAAACAUUUUAAAAGGUUUAUUUUAAGAAGUUCAACAUCAAAAUUUUACAUUUCAGACGGCAAGGGUUUCACGUCCUCUCUGAUGAUUGAAUUUCAGGUAAGCAUCUUUUCUAGCUUUUUCUCCUUUCUUCUUCUACUUAUCCAUCGUCCUUAGGUGUUUCUUUUCUUUCAUCAUCUACUUUCUUCAUCCUAAUUUCAAAUGUAAUAGGUGAUUUUGAUCAAAGACAAUCCAGAAGAAAUUGAUUGCAACACUAGAUGCAUCUGUUAGUGUCUGAUUUAUAAAUAUAGUAUAUAUAAAUGUAGUUAGUACUCUCACAUAUGCAAAUAGUAUGACAUUCACAAAACAUGUAGAGAAACACAUUUAGCAGCUAUACUAUGUUCGAUAUAAUGGUAUUUAUAUGUAAUUUAAUCAUUUAUAUUAAUCGAUUUUAGAUUAAGAAUAAGACUACACAUUGGGCCCGUGCACGAAUUUUCGCUUAUUUUACAAAAGUCAUUCCAAGUACAUGCAUUACUUCUAUUGAUCCACCAUGUUCACCCACUAACUUCUCAAAGUUGCAAAGAUAUUUUUAGAUUAUGACAUUUCCCUUAAAAUGUUCAUUAGGAAUCUGUAAAGCUUGCUUAAUGUUGAAUAAUAGAAGAUAUGGCUUUUUCUAUCUUGUCUUGAUAUAGAAGUUUACUGUAAGCAGUGAUGUGACAAUAUUGACAAAUUUCCAUGUGAAUGAACAAAUAAAGAAGAUCUCAUUUAGAAGUAUGCGUCGGAAUGCUUUCCGGUAUCCUUGACAUAGACAAACAAAUCAUGUUGUUCUCAUUACCUUUAUUCAAUUGUGUCUCUUCAUCAGUUUUGCAGGUUAGAGUAUCUUCUUCUUCAUUUUCAGCCACUACACCAAAACAGAGUGUCUAUAACAUUUCACGUUUUUUUAUUUACAUGACGCUUGAUAUUAGAUAUAUUACUGAAAUGCUUCAUAAAUUGCAGAUAUGCAUAUUUCAUAUCUGGUGUCUUCCAGUCUUAAGUUGUCCAAUAAUCAUUUGUUUAUGUAGGAGUACAAUGUACAAUUAUUAAAUAUACGUACUUUCUAAGGACACGCUAUUUUCCCAUGAUAGAACAAAGUAUAUUUUGUUGCAGUGCAGUUGUAACUUAUAACCAUCUAAUCAUGUGAUUGCUUCAGAAGUUUUGACUGAUAGACUAUGGUGCUUAGACUCUCUUAAAAUGUUGUCGGGUUCGGAUCCUUUAAAAGUAGUGUAUUUUUGUAGGUAUAACUUUUGAAGUACUACUGAUAAAUUUAAUCAGGCUAAUAGUUUUGUUGUUUCAGGUUUGGAUGAUGGAUGAUAGACAUAAGUGAUAAAUCUAUUCAUUUUUCUAGGGGCAAAAUGUAGAUAAACACAUUGUUUGUGCACCUUUUUUUUGUGUGAAUUUCAAAGUUAAUUUUCACUUAGAUGUAUACAAAUGAUGGUGAUGGGGCUACUGGUUCUUACCUAUGAAGUAUGCUCAUGAAGCUAUGGCUGCAAUAAAUUUUAUGGGAAGGGUUGGG